rnacentral:rRNA from 1 species
UGGGGAAUCUUGGACAAUGGGGGCAACCCUGAUCCAGCGACGCCGCGUGGGUGAUGAAGGCCUUCGGGUUGUAAAGCCCUUUCGACGGGGACGAUGAUGACGGUACCCGGCGAAGAAGCACCGGCUAACUCCGUGCCAGCAGCCGCGGUAAGACGGAGGGUGCUAGCGUUGUUCGGAAUCACUGGGCGUAAAGGGCGCGUAGGCGGCCCAUGCAGUCGGCUUGUGAAAGCCCGGGGCUCAACCCCGGAGGUGCGGCCGAUACACGUGGGCUGGAGGCCGGAAGAGGAGGGUGGAAUACCCAGUGUAGAGGUGAAAUUCGUAGAUAUUGGGUGGAACACCGGUGGCGAAAGCGGCUCUCUGGUCCGGUCCUGACGCUGAGGCGCGAAAGCGUGGGGAGCAAACAGG